AUUGAACGCUGGCGGCAGGCCUAACACAUGCAAGUCGAGCGGAUGAAGGGAGCUUGCUCCUGGAUUCAGCGGCGGACGGGUGAGUAAUGCCUAGGAAUCUGCCUGGUAGUGGGGGAUAACGUCCGGAAACGGGCGCUAAUACCGCAUACGUCCUGAGGGAGAAAGUGGGGGAGCUUCGGACCUCACGCUAUCAGAUGAGCCUAGGUCGGAUUAGCUAGUUGGUGGGGUAAAGGCCUACCAAGGCGACGAUCCGUAACUGGUCUGAGAGGAUGAGCAGUCACACUGGAGCUGAGCCGCGGUCCAGGCUCCUACGGGAGGCAGCAGUGGGGAAUAUUGGGCAAUGGGCGAAAGCCUUAUCCAGCCAUGCCGCGUGUGUGAAGAAGGUCUUCGGAUUGUAAAGCACUUUAAGUUGGGGGGAAGGGCAGUAGGUUAAUACCAUGCUGUUUUGACGUUACCAACAGAAUAAGCACCGGCUAACUUCGUG
rnacentral:rRNA from 1 species